AUUGAACGCUGGCGGCAGGCCUAACACAUGCAAGUCGAACGAGUGGCGGACGGGUGCGUAAUGUCUGGGAAACUGCCUGAUGGAGGGGGAUAACUACUGGAAACGGUAGCUAAUACCGCAUACCAUCAGAUGUGCCCAGAUGGGAUUAGCUAGUUGGUGGGGUAACGGCUCACCAAGGUGACGACCCCUAGCUGGUCUGAGAGGAUGACCAGCCACGCUGGAACGGGGACACGAUCCAGAGUCCUACGGGAGGCGGCAGUGGGGAUUAUUGCACAAUGGGCGCAAGCCGGAUGCAGCCAUGGCGCGUGGAUGAAGAAGGCCUUCGGGUUGUAAAAUACUUUCAGCGGGGAGGCGUUACCCGCAGAGGAAGCACCGGCUAACUCCGUGCUAGCAGCGGCGGUAAUAC
rnacentral:rRNA from 1 species